rnacentral:rRNA from 2 species
GAGUACAAUCAUACCAACAAUAAUGCACCGGAUUCCAUCAUAACUCCGUGGUUAAGCGUGUUUGGACAAGAUUAGUUCUAAGUUGAGUGACCACUUGGAAAGUCUUCAUGUAGUUGAGUGAC